UACGGGCGAGAGACCGAUAGCGAACAA
rnacentral:snRNA from 1 species